UUUUAUGUGUAAGUGACAUCGUCUUUCUAAAAAAUAGUCUGUUUUUAAUAAAUAGUGAUAUUUCCGUCCAGGAUCUUUAUUUUAUAAGUUUUAUGUGUAAGUGACAUCGUCUUUCUGAAAAAUAAUCUGUUUUUAAUAAAUAGUGAUAUUUCCGUCCAGGAUCUUUAUUUUAUAAGUUUUAUGUGUAAGUGACAUCGUCUUUCUGAAAAAUAGUCUGUUUUUAAUAAAUAGUGAUAUUUCC
rnacentral:lncRNA from 1 species